CUCCAGAGGGCUGCACAGCAUGUUUUCAGGUGUUUUACUAAUCAUUAUGUUGGUACCUGUUGAGAGAGUUGCUGCUAAUGACUCUUCUCCUACUCCAAACUCUUUGCCCAGAAUGGGAAUAACAACAAAUUUGGCAAUCAAUUCUUGAAGUUUCAGCAUCAAUCAUGUCUGGCACAACUCACUAAUCUAAACAUGCAUCUGCCUCUGUUUUCACCACACAUACCUUAAUUACCACAAAGCCUGAUUUACAUCGUUAUCUCUCAGGUGUAUUCGAUGUCUUCCUGCGGCCUCUUUCUACUCCCAGAUGAACUUUGGAUACACCAUCAGCCAGGCAGCACAUUGUGGCUCCACGGUUUCCAGUGCUCUGUUACAACUGAUAGCCCCUUUAUUUUAUUAAAUUCACCUUCCUACAACUUUCAGUUAGCAGCUAUGAGAGGAGUUUGGAGCCAUGGGCAUGCAGAACCCAAUGGUGUUCAGGGACAGCUGCCACUCUGCAGGUGAUUGUCUGACCACACUGUGAUAAAGAACAGCAGUUCUGCUUAAUGUAGAAGAGUUUUCCAGUUGCAUGUGGCACAACCAACAUCUUUGUAUCUGCUUUAUAUAUGGAAUGACAACAUAUGGAUGGUCUAUUGGAUGGUCUGAAGCCUCUAAACCUUGGGACUGGCUUGAGUGCAGCAUCAGAGCUCUAAGUUCAUGGCACAGAAGCAGCCAAGUUCAGGUUCAAGAGUCUCUCAAAAGGCUCUUCAAGCCCACGUGCCUUUCUCUGGCUCCAUGGUGUGAGAGCAGUGGGCUCCUCGAGCUCUCUGGAGCUGCUGCAGCACACCUGCCAUUGAAAACCUCCAGUGGGGAAGAUGAACAGCAAAACUGCUUCCAUUUUUCAGCUGGAAAACAGCCCCUUGUCAACAGAGGUGGAACCAUUCUAUCCCAACUGUGGGGACCCUGCAGCCAGACCCCAGGUCUCUGCACCAAAGGAAACUAUCAGGACUCCAAAAAGAAGUAACACAAACGGAGGGGAAAGAGAAGUUAAGAGAAGCAAUCUCCAAAUGAUCACAUCUUGAUGUAUUUAUUUACACUACUCUUCAUAAAUUCCACUGGUCACAUCAUUAAUCCCAAAGAUUCUGAACUAUGCAGCAGAACCACUAUUUUCCCUGGACAGGGAUACAUUCACUUUCAAGUCAUUCCUUGGAAACCCUUCUACAAUUAAGUCCUUAUUAAAACCCUUCCGAAUAAAUAGCAGAUAAACUUAGAACA
rnacentral:lncRNA from 1 species